UACAGGGGUCUCAAGCGUUGUUCGGAUUCAUUGGGCGUAAAGGGUGCGUAGGCGGCGAAGCAAGUCAGGUGUGAAAUCCCGGAGCUUAACUCCGGAACUGCACUUGAUACUGCUUUGCUUGAGGACUGGAGAGGAGAUCGGAAUUCACGGUGUAGCAGUGAAAUGCGUAGAUAUCGUGAGGAAGGCCAGUGGCGAAGGCGGAUCUCUGGACAGUUCCUGACGCUGAGGCACGAAGGCCAGGGGAGCAAACGGG
rnacentral:rRNA from 1 species